UGGGUGGAGGGUAAAAGUUAAAAGGAGCAAUUUAAAAUGAGUACGAUCAAUUCAGUCCAUACAACAAAGGCCGUGGCGCUGAGACAGUGAAGAAGCUAUCCUGCAAAAAGGGGACAGUGUGAAAGAUUACGUUUUUAUGACUUGAAUCAGGGCUUUGCUUUUAAAGGCUAAUUUAUAUGACAUGAUUCUGUUGCAUAUCGCUAGGGAAGAUACAGCAAUACCAGAAAUGUUUAUGUUUUGGCUUUAACUGUAUUGGAGGAAUGGAAAGAACAGGAGGCAGUCUCGGCUUAUUAAUGCACUGAGGCUUUAACAGCCAUCUACAAGAGUGACUUCUGCGACCAUUUUAAGCUUGGGAGUGGAAAAAAUGCCUAGUGUUCUGCUAGGACGGUCUUAGGAGUUCAGACGUGAGCACCGAGUAAGGAGGAAGGAUAUGUGAUUGCUCUUUACAAAAAUAGCACAGGUACAGCUCUACUUUGGAUGCAUCUGGUUAGCAUUUCAUGCUAGAAUUGGUAAGAAUAGUCAAUAGUUCCAAACUUAUCUCCUGUGGUUACAGAAUAUCACCUAAACAGUGAACAACUGUUAUUGCUGCUGUAGGGAAAAAAAUCCAUGCAUUUGCAUUUUCAUAAAGUCUUCAUGUAGUCUUAUGUGAAGAACUGGUUGGUCAUAGUUUCUCAUUUAAUAACUUGUUCAUUUUCUAAACUGUAACCAUGAUGUUAUAUCUAUGCCACUGUCAGAUCCCUCCCUUGUAACAUUUUUAAUUUAAACAGUACUUCAUGUGAAGAGUUUUAAUUAGGAUUUAAUUAGUCAGAAGUACCCUGCGGAGAAUAUUGCUGUUCCUCUUGGAUCCACAACCUUUAGGGCAUGCAACUGGACAUGCAAUUGUAUACUAGAGCCUGCUCUUGAAGAGAGACCUCUGAAGUUCAGGAAGAAAUGGCAAGUGCAUGUCCUGUGAAUGGGCCCCGCUGUCUGGCAGCAUCCCUUCUGCGACUGCAUCGACGGAUACUGCAAAGUGCCGGGGGAACCCGAGGAGGGCGGCGAAAUGCAGGGCCUGGAAGAGCGGGCAAGCGUCAUUCGCCGGAAGGGUUUGUGCUGCGUUGGCAGAAGAAAGGCGGCAGCUCCUGGGGAGCUGGGGGGUGGCGCGGAGCCCUCCGUCUCUGCUGUCCUGUUGCUGCCUGUCUGGGGCGCAAACCGCCUGUGACACGGCUGUCUUCCCUAACGUGACGGGAGCAGGGUGCGAGGGCCCUGAUCCAGUUGCCUCAGCCCCAGUUACAAGAAGCCUAUGUAUAUAUAUAGAUAAUUUAUAUAUAUAUAAAUAUAUAUU
rnacentral:lncRNA from 1 species